UACCAUCUCUGGAGUGACUUGCAAAUUCAUGAGAGUGAGGCAGAUAUGUCCAGCAAGGAAAGGACACGCAAGUACAGGGAAAGACUGAAUGCAGACCCUGUGACGAGAGAGGAUAUCCUCAGGGAAAGAAGAAAAAAGUAUGAAGAGAAGAAACAAAAAGGAAAAAAUGACCCUCGCAGUGUCAAAUCACUUCCUCCUUCUAAGCAAGACACAUUGAGGGAGAAAUGGAGAAAUGCACAAAGGACACACAGAAAAAGAAAACAUGAGCUUGAUGCUGUAAUGAACUUUUUCAUUAUUAUUGAACCAUUAUAUGAAGUUCAUAUGUAGCCUGUUUCCACAGUUGUUGUUUUUGUAUUGAAUACAACACUUUUUGAAUUGACAUAUUGUGGUGUGUGGUGUUUAGUUCUAAACAUGUGAACUACAAUGUUCUGUAACUGUACAGCACUUUGAUGGAAAGUGCUCUAUAAAUUAAAAUUAUUAUUUCUAUUAUUACAAAACAAAUUUUAAAUGUCAUGAUUGAUGUGAUGAAUGUAUAAAUUUGACAUUCUAAUUAACUGUUUGCUACA